rnacentral:rRNA from 1 species
UGGUGCUUGCACCGAAAGACGAGUGGCGAACGGGUGCGUAACGCGUAUGCAAUCUACCUUUUACUAGGGUAUAGCCCAGAGAAAUUUGGAUUAAUCCCCUAUAAUAUCAAUAAUUCGCAUGAAUUUUUGAUUAAAGCUUCGGCGGUAUAAGAUGGGCAUGCGUCCUAUUAGCUAGAUGGUAAGGUAACGGCUUACCAUGGCAACGAUAGGUAGGGGGCCUGAGAGGGUGAUCCCCCACACUGGUACUGAGACACGGACCAGACUCCUACGGGAGGCAGCAGUGAGGAAUAUUGGGCAAUGGAGGCAACUCUGACCCAGCCAUGCCGCGUGCAGGAAGAAUGCCCUAUGGGUUGUAAACUGCUUUUAUUUAGGAAUAAACCCUUCUACGUGUAGAAGGCUGAAUGUACUAAACGAAUAAGCACCGGCUAACUCCGUGCCAGCAGCCGCGGUAAUACGGAGGGUGCAAGCGUUAUCCGGAAUCAUUGGGUUUAAAGGGUCCGCAGGCGGACGUAUAAGUCAGUGGUGAAAUCCUGCAGCUUAACUGCAGAACUGCCAUUGAUACUGUACGUCUUGAAUUCGGUCGAAGUGGGCGGAAUGUGUAGUGUAGCGGUGAAAUGCAUAGAUAUUACACAGAACACCGAUAGCGAAGGCAGCUCACUAGGCCUGGAUUGACGCUCAGGGACGAAAGCGUGGGGAUCAAACAGGAUUAGAUACCCUGGUAGUCCACGCUGUAAACGAUGAUUACUCGUUUUCGGCGAUAUACAGUCGGAGACUAAGCGAAAGUGAUAAGUAAUCCACCUGGGA